rnacentral:rRNA from 1 species
AGAGUUUGAUCCUGGCUCAGAACGAACGCUGGCGGCGUGCUUAACACAUGCAAGUCGAACGAGAAAGCUUCCUUCGGGAAGCAAGUAGAGUGGCGCACGGGUGAGUAACGCGUAGGUAAUCUACCCUUAUGACUGGGAUAACAUUGGGAAACUGGUGCUAAUACCGGAUACACUUCUUUACUGCGGGGUAAAGGAGGAAAGGUGGCCUCUUCAUGAAAGCUACCGUAUAGGGAUGAGCCUGCGUACCAUUAGCUAGUAGGCGGGGUAACGGCCCACCUAGGCAACGAUGGUUAGCGGGUCUGAGAGGAUGAUCCGCCACACUGGAACUGGAACACGGACCAGACUCCUACGGGAGGCAGCAGUGAGGAAUAUUGCGCAAUGGGGGAAACCCUGACGCAGCGACGCCGCGUGAGUGAGGAAGGUUUUCGGAUCGUAAAGCUCUGUCAGAAGGGAAGAAGUGUUAUAUGUUUAAUACGCAUAUAAUUUGACGGUACCUUCAGAGGAAGCACCGGCUAACUCCGUGCCAGCAGCCGCGGUAAUACGGAGGGUGCAAGCGUUGUUCGGAAUUACUGGGCGUAAAGGGCGCGUAGGCGGCUGGAUAAGUCAGAUGUGAAAGUCCAUGGCACAACUGUGGAAGUGCAUUUGAAACUGUCCGGCUUGAGUAUCGGAGGGGAGUGUGGAAUUCCCGGUGUAGAGGUGAAAUUCGUAGAGAUCGGGAGGAACACCGGUGGCGAAGGCGACACUCUGGACGAAUACUGACGCUGAGGCGCGAAAGCGUGGGGAGCAAACAGGAUUAGAUACCCUGGUAGUCCACGCCGUAAACGAUGUGAACUAGGGAUAGGGGGUGUUGAUCCCUCCUGUCCCGCAGCUAACGCAUUAAGUUCACCGCCUGGGGAGUACGGUCGCA